GGUUGUGAGGGCGAUCUGGCUGCACAGCUGUCACCCCAGUGGCCAUUACUCAGUUGAUUUGGCUGAUCUGGCUCGAUAGGCAGUAACUCCUUCCUCCCUUACCACUCCAGAGGACAACAUUCCCCCAAUAGAAGAGAACUAGUCUUCAGUCAGGGCUGCAAGAGUGACUGUGAUCCCCUGCUAGAUCCUCCAAACGAGCCCACAUGUGCACAGGUAACACACGCACGCCCACACACAUAUGACACAAGGCAAAUAAACACAUGUUUGUAAGAGUUUCAAAGAUGUAAGUGAAAUCCAAAUAUUGCAGAGAACUCUCUUCCUAU
rfam:Rattus norvegicus chromosome 4, whole genome shotgun sequence.